GUUGACCUCGGAUCAGGUAGGGAUACCCGCUGAACUUAAGCAUAUCAAUAAC
rnacentral:rRNA from 1 species